GAUGAACGCUGGCGGCGUGCCUAAUACAUGCAAGUCGAGCGAACAGACGAGGAGCUUGCUCCUUUGACGUUAGCGGCGGACGGGUGAGUAACACGUAGGUAACCUACCUAUAAGACUGGGAUAACUUCGGGAAACCGGAGCUAAUACCGGAUAAUAUUUCGAACCGCAUGGUUCGAUAGUGAAAGAUGGCCUUGCUAUCACUUAUAGAUGGACCUGCGCCGUAUUAGCUAGUUGGUAAGGUAACGGCUUACCAAGGCAACGAUACGUAGCCGACCUGAGAGGGUGAUCGGCCACACUGGAACUGAGACACGGUCCAGACUCCUACGGGAGGCAGCAGUAGGGAAUCUUCCGCAAUGGGCGAAAGCCUGACGGAGCAACGCCGCGUGAGUGAUGAAGGUCUUCGGAUCGUAAAACUCUGUUAUUAGGGAAGAACAAACGUGUAAGUAACUGUGCACGUCUUGACGGUACCUAAUCAGAAAGCCACGGCUAACUACGUG
rnacentral:rRNA from 1 species